AACGAACGCUGGCGGCAGGCCUAACACAUGCAAGUCGAGCGCGCCUUCGGGUGAGCGGCGGACGGGUGAGUAACGCGUGGGAAUAUGCCCUUCUCUACGGAAUAGUCCUGGGAAACUGGGGGUAAUACCGUAUACGCCCUUUGGGGGAAAGAUUUAUCGGGGAAGGAUUAGCCCGCGUUGGAUUAGGUAGUUGGUGGGGUAAUGGCCUACCAAGCCGACGAUCCAUAGCUGGUUUGAGAGGAUGAUCAGCCACACUGGGACUGAGACACGGCCCAGACUCCUACGGGAGGCAGCAGUGGGGAAUCUUAGACAAUGGGGGCAACCCUGAUCUAGCCAUGCCGCGUGAGUGAUGAAGGCCUUAGGGUUGUAAAGCUCGUUCAGCUGGGAAGAUAAUGACGGUACCAGCAGAAGAAGCCCCGGCUAACUCCGUG
rnacentral:rRNA from 1 species